CAGUGGCUUUGUAAACAAGAGUCUGUAUGAGAGAUGUUUCCUCCUGUAUCGAAUUUCUGUUCCAAGCACCACAUGCUCUCUUUUGCAGAGGAAAAUGGACCGUGUUAUACAGGUGGCUUAACUUACUGUUGUUAUGCAUACAUUUGUGGAGGAAUGUUGCCUUCAUUCCACAAGAAUCCUGGCCAGGGAGAAGAGCUGAGAACUGUUAAAUAUGAUGAGAUGUUUCUUGGUCAUGACUUCUGAAGACUUACAGCCUCCCUGAGCUCCCAAGAUCCACAGAUGCCCUCUUACCUUGUCUUUUAUCCUUUCAUGGAAGCAUCUAAAGGAAAACUGGAAACUGCAGUGAUACAUGAACAAUUCACAGCUUUCCCAGCAGGAAGAUUUGCCCCUUUACAUUGGAAGACCUCUGGCUGUGGUGUUUGCAUUUCAGAGCCAUUCCACCUGGUUUUGAUAAUCUGGGUGAAAUUGAUCAUACUAAAUCUUUUGACCAAUGUUCCUCAGAAGAUGAGAGAAGAGAAGAAUGGGACAGAAGAUCACAUUCAAGAAGGUGAAGUACUUGUAUGUUCUGUAUGGCAUGUUCUUCUGUCUUUACUUACUUGGUUAUAAUAAUGACAAAAUUGUUGGGCUCUUCUGAUAAAAAGCUGUUUCAAGCUCUUGGAAAGCACCUGUUUUUAUCACUAUUAAUUGCUUCCAGUGGAACUAAGCUUUGGUAAAGGAAAGUCUUCGCAUCAUUGGGGAUUAAUUGGGACAAAGCGGAAAGGAAAGAGAAGUAGAAUGAAAAUUGUUCUUAUUAUUCUUAAUCCUAUAUUAUCUAAGGUGGAAAUAAUUUUUUUUUCAUUUUUUUGUUAUCAUGUUUACAAAUGUAGGUGGACUAUCCUGUGUCCAAGCUCUGAGACAGAAGAAAUAGGAAAACACUGCUGUAAAGAACCAGAAAAACAGCAUCGUUUUUGUGAGAAAUCUCAGCCAUUUCGCUUUUACUGGACUCAUGAAAUCUCUCUGUAAUUAAGUGACAAGCUUGUAGUGUUCCCAUACCCAUCUCUGUAGGAAUUCCUUGCAUUAAUUUGCAGAGGCACAGCUUAAGCUGGCCAAUAGUAGGAGACCAUCCUUGGUUUAUUUUUCCUUGGGAACUUCUACACUACACAAGCUUUCUAUUUGACCUUUGCAUUUUCUUCUGAGGACAAGGGGUUGAAGUCUGCAGGAUAAUUAGAAGUACCCAACAUGGCUCUGGAGAAAACCUACACUGCUUUUGAGCACCAGGAGUAGUAAACAUCUGGGGAUCAUUUGAAAUUGUAGCUGCUCACUUGCUAUGGAAGACAUGAAAGAAGCAGUUAAUGUUUCUUUUCUGGGCUGGGAAUUGAUCUUUAUCACCACGUUCCCUAACCUGUAUUAAUAACAAUCACCAGGGACAGGAGAAGCAUGCAGACUUUAAAAAGCAGCAGUAGUUGCCCUAGGUCAUGGAAGUAAAGGAGGAAUUUGGAUCUGAAUUUUUCUUGUUUUCUAUCCAGACGUAUGAACCUCUUUUGUUGGAAGUAAUUUUUGUGUGAAAUUUGACUGCAGCUUCUGAGGAUACAUAAAAAUAAGUCAAGUUAACAAGAAGAAGAAAAUAAAAAUCCCUCCUGUAAGGCCUGAGAAAGUGAUUUCUACCCUAUACUUAAAAGAACCAUAAUUUUUUUUUCUGGAUUUUUUGCCAGGCCUUUCAAUUUUUAAUUUAAGGUAGAAGUAAAUGAGAAGGUAGUUCUUUCUUCCUAUAACAUUUGUUCUAAUAUUUCCUAUAACCUUUGUUGAAUUACUGCCUUUACCAUGGGGCAAGUUGUUUCAGGAGCUGUUCCAUCUGCCACUCAGAAUAUUCCACUCCCAUCAGUAGAAUGAAGCCUUUCUAGCUUUUUCUUUUAAUGCAGAGCGACAAGAUUGAAGGGAAUGGGAAUUUUUUUAAGGGUGUAUAUGAAAAUUAAGGUUCAUGUUGUGAAAUUAUUACUGAGAGAAGCAUGAGGUGCUGCUUUUGCUGAUGUAGUGGAAUAAUGCAAGUACCAGUUUAAAAUUUUACAAAUUCCUCUAGCUGGAACAGGAACUAAAACACUGCCACCUCAACAACCUAGCACUCCCCACAGGUCUCUAUGCACCUUGGAGAUGUUGGCUUAGAAGGAUUUUACUUUUCUUAACUUUGGGAAAGUAGGAAUGCACAGAUAUAAAAAGCAAUACAAGAUAUUCAUUAUGAGGGAGAUUUUCUAAACUUUCCUUGACUAUUUUAAUAUUAACUUUUUCUGCACAACUAUGGCAAGGCAGAUUUCCAAAGCAGCAUACUUGAGUCCUGUUGCUAUUAGAUAUUAGAUAUUAAUUAGAUAUUAAUGGGUGAAUCCCCUGUGAUGCUUUGAAAGGGUACAGUUGUAUGGAUAUUAAAAUACUUUCCCUGAUCACAUUGUUUGUUUGUUUGUUUUUGGUUUUUUUUUUGAGGAACAGAACUACAAAGACAUUGCUUCCCAUAAGACAGAAACAAGGCACACAUAUCAUCCUUCCUUCCUUCCAAACAGGCUAUUCCUUUGUUGCACCUGGAAAGAAUGCCAGAAUCCCAGUUGAUAAAAAAUAGGUUUCAGUGAAGUCAGAGGAGAACAUGAAAUCAUCGAAGCAAGAGACCACACGAAAAGGUUCUUAUCUGACACAGCCUAAUUGGCUGGGGCCUACUGUUUUACAUGUCAGAUGUCUCCCUGCUGCUCAGACAAUCUUGAGUGGAGUAAAUCUGUGCCAGAAAUAAUUUAUCCUUGUAUGUGUUUAUGUGUCCAUAGAUCAUGGGGUGGCCUGCUUCCACUGCAAGCAUCACCCUGAUUCAAAGAGGGCACUUGUGCAUCUCUGCUGAAGGACAAAGUGUUUGCAGAAUUAGAUCCUUACUCCUCUUUACUGGUCACAUGUGGGUGAGGGUUCUCUUAAGUGCUCCAUUAUUGUGGAAGGCAGUUUAAUGACUGCACACUGUAAAAGUUCAAGCAAUUAUAUGUAAGGCACAAUGAACAAUAUGACUUCCAAAUGUUCACAUGUAAUGCAUGUCAGAUUUCAGUUGGAAAACAAAACAAGCCCCUCAAGGUUGCUGUCUGUCUGCUCUUUAGAAGAACCACAUGUUGUAACCUCAGAGCCUCAAAAUAUCAGCUGUUUUCUGUGCAUGAUGAGAGCAGUGGAAUCUGUGACAUAUUCUGUCCUUUGUUUCCUGGAAUCUGGCUGCACUAAUGAUCAGAUGUGUGCUUCUGCCAAGUGCAGUUGGUGUUUGAUCCACGUUCAAACCAGAGAAUUGUUCUUUUUUUUUUUUUUUAUCAUGGCAUAUCUCAUUAUGACAUAAUUUUUUUACAGGGUGUAGCAAAGAUAUAUAUGUAAAUAAGGAACUAUAUUUUCUAAAAUUCAUCUGUGGUUGUUCUUUUAUUACUUUUAGGGAAUGUGAAACUACCUAUAGACCCCACAUGAGGUCCAGGACCAUUGUACUGUCUACUAGUAUCCUUUUGUGAAGCAUUUAAAAUCAAAAUACUCUGGACACAUAAAGGAAGCAGAUUUAGAUCUUUCUUGGAAGAAGAGCAGAAGUGACCAGUCACUGUUGCCAGGAACAUUCUGCCUUUUUCAGAAGAACUUCUCAAGGAGCCCAGGUCCCCAAGGGUGAAGUUUUGACCCUGGUGAAGUCAAGGGGACCUUCGCUCUCUUUCAUUAAGACAAGAGCCAUCCCUCAUCACAUCUUGCACUUGCAGCAGUGAAAUGUGGAAAGGAAAGGAGAAACUGUUUCCUUGGGUAUUGCCAUGAGGUUAAAGAAAAAUUGAAGGUGGCACAGAGCAGUGGAAGAGCAACAGCCUUUAGAAGCCCUCUCCAAAAGUAGAGUUUGUGAAAUAGUUUCCAAACAUCUGCAGGAACAGUGCUACAUCAACCUUCCAGCGGCCUGGUUGAAAAGACUGUCCUUUAAUCUAAACCAUACUCCCUGGGAUUUCUUAAUGUAGUUAAUUCUUUUUAUUUUUUUUUUUUUAAUGUUUUGCCAGUGAGAAACUGCCUAGUGGUCUUCACCUCUGAGUCCUUUCCACUAACUCUUAGUCCUGGCACAUUGCUGUACCUUUUCAUUGCACAGGGAUCUCCUCAAACAAAAGAAAAUUAUGAAACUGUCAGAUCAGAUUUCAUAUAUUUCUCUUGGCAUUGCACUCACUAGACCUGGUACACACAGUGAGUUUUGAAAGCCUCUGAUCUUUUAUAACCAUUUCCAGUCCUAAACAUACAUUUAAAAGUUCCUCAUCUGCAGUCACUGGGAAUAUGACUAUGAAAGCUGAGGUAAUUUGGAUAUUUUCUUUCUGUAAAGACAUAGAGAGUGAUCCAUUGCAACCAUAAAUCAUUUCCAAUGUUUCAUUAUUCUUUCUACUUCUGAUUGUUUUAUUAAGACUCUGAAUUUAUUUCUUUCACUUUUGGUUUUUUUUUUUUUUUUUUUUUCCCUCUUUCCUGCUAGGGAUAUAUGUUGCUUUAGAACUUAAAAUCAAGGUGCUUAGAUGUGCUUGCGGGAAUGAACACUGACAAGCACGUUCAGAGUGGUGAGCUCUGCUAGGUCUGAUGGUACUAUAAAACAGACACAUCAAGGACACCAAGUCCUUUCUUCUCCUGGCAAGCUGCUGUGUCAGUCUGGAAGCCUAAUGAGGUGCAUUAGCACCUCAGAUAUUAGCCAGCCCGUGGGAUGGGAGGAGUGGGAUUUUUCUUCACUGUUGUGUUCCUUGUCAAUUCAGGGAAAUCAACCAAACUGAAGCUGUGCUGACCGUUCAAGACCUAGCUAGAAGAUCCCUUGACACAAAAUCCUGUAAGUGUAUUUAUACAGGGGGUCCCUUGGCCAAUUCAAAGGGCCAGACAGAGGAUUGCUAGAGCUGAAAGCAUGAGCCAUGUCAACUACAAUCUAAAUUAAGUGAAAAUGCUGACUGUGCCAGAGAACAAGAACAGACAGCAAUUCUGUGUUACUUGUGACAUUGUAACUCAGCAGUUGCUUCAGAGCCCAGUCACACGCAGCUUCCUUGGGAAAGAGGAAUAAGUUUACUGGAACAACUGGUGGAGAUGACAGGUUAUUCAGAUGUCUUUUCUGAAUGCCAACAAAACAAAAGCAUACUGUCUUUAAUGCUUGUAUUAUAAACAACUUGCAUCCACUUUCAAAUACCCUCCACCUUUCCUUCACCAUAUGAACACUUUAAACAGAGAGCUGCUUUGUAAAUCUCUCAAAAACUUCUAAUUGCACUUUUCUUAUUUGUUCAAUUCACAGCCAAGUCACAGUAGAAUAACUGUGUACCUUUUUUACAAAUACACCAGACUGUUUGAUUUCUGCUGCCACUGUUUCUAAACCCCUUCCUUAGUAGCCUUUCCAUCCUGACUAGAAGAUGAGUAACUUUCUAAGAAGGAUUAUUUUUAUCCUUUCUGUUUUUCAGUUCCUUUCCAUUUUUCUUGGCUAUCUACUUGACUGCACAGCCUACUGCUCAGUUCCUUCUGUUUUUCAGAGCUCAGAUGCAAAUCCUUCCUUGUCUGCAUAACAAGAGCUGGUCUCCUACCCCAAUGUUUCUUUCAACUGAUCCUGUUAUCAACUCACAGCCUGGGAUUUUUCAAUUUCAGGUAGAAUGUUCAGGUGACAUGCUGUAUUUCGGUGCAGCUACUUUCAUUAGUGUUUAGAACUUCGUAUACAAUCCUGAAAUGGUGAGUAGAGUUUCUUUCACUUAUUGUCUUCAUCAUGAUGAGCUUUCCUACCUCUGUUCACUGUAUGGUUUAUCUUAAAUCCAAUGACUGUUUCUUCUCUCCACACUGAAAUACCACUGGUGUAUUGCUGUCAAGUCUUUUAAGUUCAAGAUCUUCUCCAGCCCAAUGGUAUACCAAAAGUAUGGCUGCAUUCAGUUGGGACAUUAUAUAUUGGGAAUAAAUCAGGGAAUAAAUCCUCAUGGGAUCUCUUGAGAAGAGACUCUGAUAGUCUCUUUCUUGUUUUAGAAAAAUUAGAAAUUUAGCUCAGCUGCUUUUCCUCCACUGGAAAGAUAUGUGUAAUGUCUCUGAUAAAAGGACAUUAAAACAUUUUUCCUUAAUAAGGUUUGUGGAUAAUACUGCAUAUGCUGGUUUAAACAACAAGCAUAAAGAGGCCAUUGCCCAGAGAAACUCUGCAACUCAUUAGCUAGUUUUAUCUUUCCUUCAAAGAAGGAAAAGCAAAAAUCUAACUGAUAUACCCAUCCAAUGCUCUCUGAAAAAAAACAGCUUGGCAGCCAGGCCAUUCCUUCCCUCACAACAAAGCCAAACAAAGAGAAGUCAUGCAUUAAAUUUUUUUCAAAGAAGAAAGUCUGUAAUUUAAGUAAGAAAUGUUUCAGAUCUAGAAAAUUGAAUAUGUUUUGCUUUUGGAAGCAACAAAUCAGAGUACCAAAGAAAGGACAGUGUACAGAAAUAUGGCAAGUUUAUCAGUGAUUGUAGUGUGGAUGAAAGUAGUCAUUAAUUAAUGAAAAGCAAGGGUUUUAGGGGAGAAUUCAGAUGUUUAACAGAACCCCAGGCUUUGCUCUAAGUGGGGUAGGCAAAAAAUCUUUGGUCAGAGUGGUUCACUUGGUGACAAAGCACAUCAGGGAAGCUGCUGCACAGCACCAAGAUCAGGAUGGAGAUUAUUGCACCCCUUCACUUUAUCCCCAGGUCAAGCCCUCCUCGAUCCACUAGCUGUCAUUUGGUUUCCUCCUGCUCUCAAAAGCCCUUGAGAUGAUCAGAAAAUGGCCAAUUGUGCUUCAAAUCCUUCAGCAUGGCUGGAGCUUUGAUCUCCUGACAUUUAGCAAAGCAGGGCAGUCCAAGAGCAUUGAGGCAUUGCUGUGGAAUGGCAUGGGCAGCCCUGAGAUCUGAGACUCCAGCUCUUACUGUCAGGACUUCUGUUAUGGUGUUGGCUGGUAAAGGCAGAACUUCCAGAGAAAUAAGGUUCUCACAAAAUAAUCAGUUAACUGAAUUCUGUUUCCUUUUUUAACAUCUUUUGGAAGUCAUCCACCACAGUUUAGGAAAAGGAGAAGGGAAAGAGUUACCUGGAAGAAAAGCUGAGCAACAAGGCACAGGGGGACAUGUGUGGCCAGCACACUCGAGUUAUUUUCAGCUGGAGCACGGGCCUCAGGAGUGGCAUAGAUUCCAGUGUGCUGGUGGUGUCUUGCUUGACUUCAGGAUUCUUAUCUAGAAUUCUCUUAAGUGGACAGUGAAAAGAAAAAAAGCUUCUGUUCAAGUAAAAUACUGCUUUGCUUUCAUGUUUUAAGACAUUUUAUCACUGGAGGUGGUCUUUAAUAUGGUCCUUAAGCCGUAACUCUUGGGAUCACCUCAUUCCUUAUACCUCUUCCACUGAGCAGGAAUGUUGGAGCAGAGCACAGCUCAGCACUACAUGCUUCAUUAAAGGAGCUUAUAUAGUAUCCUAUGGGCCUAGAGGUCCAGCGGGAACCUUUGGCAGACACAAAUAUGCUUUGGAAAACUGUGGGAAUGCUGAUGACCUGACAGUGAUUUAUAUUAUUGCAUUAGAAAAAUAAAUAGUAUGGCAGGACCUGUCAGGAUGGAUAAAGCAAGGAUUUGCCAGUAACUGUGCUGUGCAGCUCUCCAAACCACUAACCUGCUGUUAGCCCAGGCCUCUUUUUCAUCCAAACCCUCAUAAAAAUUUAUUGCAGAUGGGUACUAAGAACCUUCAGGAAAAUCCUUUGCUGUUUCAACAGCAUCUCUGCCUUAUGAUGGUCUCGCAGUAACUUCUUCCCCCCUCCCCCAGCAGAAGAGGUUUUCUCCUGCCCAGCAUGGUUCAAUCCUCUCUUACAGAUGGCAAAGAAAAGAAUUUAUCAACCUAUCUGGGGUAGCCAAGGGAUGAAGUACCAUAAGGCUGUGCAUGAACGAGAGAGACUUAAAUCACGCUUGGAGUUGCAGGCACAGCUUCAGGUGCUGUGUCGAGAGCCCUUUUCUUGGCCCAGAUCAAAAAGCACACCUGGGCAGCAUCGUGAUUUGGAGCUGAAGCCUGCAGCAGUGGGGCAGUGCAGUGGCACGCUGGGGACCAGGACUGGCCACGUGCCACAUCUUUUGUGCCCUGGAUCACUUGGAGCCUGACACAGGUACCUGCCGAUGUUAACACUUAAAGAUGAGCAGUCCAAACUUCACUGACCUUAAAAGGCCUGCACAGACUCAGGGUGUGCACCUGAGCAGUUCGUGUGCAGAACCAUGCUCGUGCCUAGCCAGAUGUUUAUCAUCAUCUGUCAUCACAGAGCUAGGAGGUAGAGAUUGACAGGGUAAUUUAGUCUGGGAUAACAUGGAAAAUAAACAUGGAAAAACAUGACAAGCAUGCACAAGUGUUUUGAAAACUGAUUGGCAUCCCAUAAUGAAUAGCAUGAGAAUAAUUUUUUUUAACUAAAAAAUAUUGAAAAGUAUAAAAUCUCCUUGAUUAAAAGCAAGCUGUAAGACAAGUGCAAGAGUUAACCAAAUAACUUAUUCAGUUAUACAUGUCCUGAAUCAAGAUUCAAUAUGUAGACACUUAGUAUGACUUUUAUAUUAUAAUAAUUUUCAUUCAUGAAGCGAUUACAGAUACAAAUAGAUAAUCUCUUAUCUCAUAAGAGAAUGCUUUUCCCUGUGUAUUAAGGUACAAAUGAAAUAAGUUUUACAUGGCCUGUGGAGAAUGUUUUGUGCCUUGCUGGUGACAGUAGGUUAAAGCUUAAGAUAACCACUUCAGACUGGCUGCAUACUUCACUAUUUUCCCCCUUCACAGUUGUUACAUGCAGAGCCUCAAAACAUAUCCAGAUGGACAGAAACUGUGACUGCCACUUACGAAACCAGUGUAAUCUAGCACAAUACACAAAGCAGGGUAAGCGGGAAGGAAAACAAGUUCUGAAUAGAGGACCUCCUUGGAACGUUGGAUCAGCCAUCAGACACACCAAUUCUGUUUAGACAGGCCUGUUAUACACACCCAAAUGUUCUGCAAAACAAAGCACAUCCCCAUCCUUUCACCACUGCAGCUCCAAAACACUUCUGCCCAAGGGUGGUCUUCACCCUGCUUGAGCAGUGUUUGUGCCUACAUCUUUAUUCACAGACUGAAGCACUGGUUUCCAGAGUUUUUUGGUAAAGCUGCCACAUAAACCAUGUUCUUCUCAAGGAAUAUAAUAUCUUGGCAGUUUUGUUUAGGUUUCACUUUUUCAAAUAUGCAAUAGAAAAAUGUGAACAAAUGGCACGCACGGGUGACACACACUUAUGGCUGUGCUGCCACCAGUAGAUUGUCUUGCAUAAUGCUGCUUGUGUGACACCAGAAUAAAUAACAUCACCAUAGCAGAGAACCUGGUCAAGAGAAAACUAUUAUUAUUUGAAGUUCUUCACUUGUGGGAUAAUGUCUGCUAAACACAAUGUAAAGCAAUCUAUAGCAACUUUCUGGAUUUUUGUUGCUGUACAUAUUUUUUUGCAUGCAGUAUGCACGUAUCCCAACAGGGUGAUUAGAUAAUAAAGCCAUGAUGUAAGAAAAAAAAAACCCAAAUCCUGGCAGAUUUAUAGCAACUAAAUCUAUGUCUUCAUUCCUCACUCCCGCUGGCAUGGUUGUCUAAUUUAACUGAGGUUAAUUCCAGUGCUGAUUCCUACUUAUGCACGUGUUGGCAGAGAUAGAUCUCAGUGCAGUGGGCAUUCUCAAUCAAUUCUUUAUUUGUCACAUUUCACAAAUUUCCAAGCAAUAAAAAAAGUUGCCUGGGAAAUUGCAAUUUGAAUUGGUGAUAUUUCAUCCCUUCUCCUGCCUUCCUCCCUUUCAUUUCAGUUCAUGAUAGUCAAAUCCCCUGUUUGACUGGUGCAGCUGCUCAGUUACAUGCCUGCUGCUCAUGGUAAGAGUGUGCUUUGGAAAUGCAUCUUGCUUCCUACCACGUGGGAGUAAUGAUGUGUUUUGGUUUGCUGUUUUGCAGAAAACAUUAUUUGCCAUAUUGUCUCAACCGAGCUUGCCUUUUUUUUUUUUUCCCCAAGAAAUUGGCCAAGGGAGCUAUGAUUAUUUAAUUUAUCUUUUGAUCUUUUUGCAUCAUGACUAGAGAGUGGCAUGUGAAUUAUUUAAUUAAGCUGUGAAUAUUGCUGGAUAUUGCUAAGUUACACAAAUACUGUGUCAUUUGGCUAUUUAUGACUAAAAAAAACUAACAAAAAGCUAAUUAAAACAUAAAUAAUCUUGGAGUCUUUCAACCAGCUGUAAUAUAUCCAUACAACACCAUUCUACUGAAGAAGGAAGCUAUUGUUGAGGCUUUUGUCACAGAAAAAAAAAAAAAAAAAAAAGUAAUAUUUUUUCUUUGGUUUUCUUCAUGUCACAAAGAAAGCUGCAGCCUCUGGCAUUUCAGCUGGGCUCCGUUCUGUGCCCAGGGUGACGGAGCCACUCGCAGUUGCUCACAUGGAAAUGUGCUGAACAAGAACUACACCAUUAACAAAAGCAUGCCAGGGCUUCAGUGGGCAAAGCACAAGAGCAGAAUAUUAACCACAGAUCCUGCCUAGGUAGAAAAUCCUUUUGCUUGGUCAUGGCACAUAACAAGGUUUCAUGCUGUUCUUUUUGGCAUGUGUGGUGCCACAGAUUCCCCAGGAGCCAUACUUCAUUCAGAUGUCUGCUUCUUAAUGAGCUGAUUUUCAGAGGAGCAGCUAUUUACUAAUUCAUUGCUGGCUUACACCUUCAGUACAUGAUUUUCUUUCACAACAGUCCAGGAAACUCACCACACCUCAAACCACAAGCAAUGGCCAGAAUGCUCAUGUAGCCAUUGUGGGAUUUCCUCAUUGUGCUGCAGAAAUUAUGUAAAAAUGGAAUAAUCUCUUCAAAUGGCUUCAGCAGUAAUGAGGGACUCAGGUACCUGAGAAAAAAUACAGUGUCAUUAAACAAUACUGUUUUAAACAUCAGUACAUGCAAAAAGUGAUAGAAGUGAAUUAAAUGCCUGUCUCUUGUUUACACCUUGGACUGUAUGUACUUCUCACCUCUUCAUUUUUCUGGCUUACAUCUUUGAAUAGGAGGAGACCACCAUGUAUAGGCUAAAUGGUAAAAUGCAUUUCCUUCCCCAUUCCUUCUGUCCAAACUCUUGGAGUCAUAGAAAUGUUCAAACACUCCCUUAGUGAAUUAUGGCUGUAUGAGAAAGAGACUUCUUCGUGACUUGGCUCCUCCCUGUAGUUUGUGUCCUAACUUUUCAAGUCUUGAUUUAAGUUUGACUGGUUUUUUUAUCCAUAAAUGCCCCAUUUAAGAUCAGCUACCUCCUAAAUUUACUAUGUUGCCAAAAUAACCCAAAGGUGGCUUUGUUAGAUAGACAUCAGCAACUAAGUGACCAAUUUUAAAAUAUUUGGUUUUCCUUGUUAUUCUUUUCAGUAAAUUUUCUUCUUGAAUCAAAAAGUGAUAAGAGAUGAAGAACAGUUGGAAGUAUUGAACUAACCAAGUAUGCUCAAUGAGGAGACCCUACUAUUUGUAACACCAUUGAAAGGUAACAUAAGAAAAGCUUUGCUUGAUACAGAAUACAGGCACAGACCAAUGAAAAUAACAAAUUUGCAUAUGCAAGUACUAGUAUCUAACAAGAUUCUAAAUAAGUGAAGGAUUAAUGAAAAGAUUGGUUAGUUUUGUCUCCAUCAUCAGACGACUAAGAUAAAAAAUUAGGACAAAGAAGAGAUGUUUUCAGGAACCACAGCUACUCCUGUCCUCUCUCUUUCCCACCCUUUUCUCUUCCUUUCAGGCCCAUUUAGACAAACAUCAGUCAGUCUCCUUUAGUCUAUUUUGGUGAUGUUCUGUGGGCUUCCAGCUUAUUUCUGCAUAACCUGAAAUGUCUGUAUUUGCAUCCCAAGCUGCCAAAAUUGUUCUUUAAUUACAUCCCAGGAACUUUCAUUUGUUCUUUGAGGGGGAAGUACUGCAUUGCUACACCAAAGGUCUUGUCAAGGUUCCUUAGAGAUGUCUAAUCUUGCAGGAUACUGAAACCGAUUGGACUUUAUUGCACAGUGCUACAAUUUGUUACACAAGACUUAAGAACAGAUGCCAGUUGUUUAAGGUGCUUACACUGAAAUAACUUGGUGCUUUUCCUUUUGGUUCUUUCUCUUUUUUUAUUCCCUUAGUAAUAUCUGUCUCUCACUUUUAGUCCUCCUGUGACUUUGAGAAAAGUAUUUUCAUACUUGUGAGGCCUCUGGAAAUUUUCAGAGCAUUCAGAUUAUGUUCUGAUAAAACUCUGACUUCUUGAGUACAUACGUAUGCAAAACCUUACCAAGAUUUAUUAUCUCAUUUUAAAAUUGUCAGUAAUAUCUUCUGCAUUUGUUCAGUCCAAAGGGAUGUAAAAAAAUCAUAUCAGAGUAGCUGUGGUGAGAGAAGUUCAUUCCUUAUCAGUCAUCGAAACUUGCCAAGUCGGUUUUAUGAAAGCAGUGAAAUGAAUGCAGAAACUAAACCCAGAUUGAUAAGACUAAGCCAAAAGCAUAACAGAAAAAAAAAAAAGCAGUGUUGCUACUUUAGCUUUCCUCAUCUGUAACUGAAAUGGAAGGGAAUGGGAUGGAUCGAAGGUGUGUCAGCAGGGCAUGCAGACCCACAGUAUUGAAAAUAAAAAGUCAGACACAAAACUCCUUCUUCCAAACUGGAAUGCAGGGAACUGUCAGCCAGUCCCCAUUUACACAGAAUGAGUGUAAAUGUGAUAUUGUCAGGGGCCGGUGCUAAUCCUGGCACAAGCGCUGUUCCCCAUCAGCCUGGCGUCAGCUCAGAGCCUCCUGGCUGUGCUGGGGCUGCUCUGUGUCCCUGUCCCGUGGAGCUGGAGCAGCUUCAGCCCUGUCAGAGCACGCUGAUCCCCACAGAGAACGUGUGCCUCUGCACUUGUGUUCGGGCAGCUCUGCAGCUCCUCGCUGGCAGCCUCAGGGAUAUUUCAGUAGGAUCAACUCCUUUCCCUACAGGGCCAUAAAAAGAGAAGGGUUAACAAGGGGCUGUGAAGUGUCAGGGCAGAGGUGAUGAGGUGCCUUUAUGGGACCUCUGCAGAGUGCCUGACACCAGAUUCUCAAGGCUCAUUCAGGGCUCUGUGCUCAGCCAAGGUUCCCAGUCCCUGGCUGGAGGCAUUUGGAAAUCCACUGCUGCCACACCUGAGGCUGUCAGGGAUUGUGGCCAUUACCCUCAGUCAUACUUACCCUGUUCAUAGUAACUCACUCUUCGGAAGGACAAGUUCUGCCACGAGUCUUCCAGGUUGUGCUGUAACAACCCACAGUGCCCAAGAAGUGUCUCACCAGUGGGAGAGCAUGGAGAAAUUCCUCACAGCCACCUUUUGUAACGGUGGAUGUACCGGCCUCCCUUCUUGCCAAAGGGUUCUUAGGAACCUGGCUUCCAGACCCCUGGAAUUUGUCUUGCCCAACCCAUGCAGCACUGAAAUCCCGGGGAGCAGCACUGAUGCCGAUUCAUUGUUUAAUCAUCACCCCAGCCCUGUUCCAGGCUCUGGUCACAGCUCCUGUUUGGCACUUCCUCAAGGAGAAAGAUCUGGCAGCACCCGCCACUGCUCUCCAUGAGGAAAUGGGCAAGCACCAUUCUGUCUGUGCUUCACUUCUUAGAAUUACUCAGAAAAUGUUUCUACAUUAAAGCAUGUUUCAGUAUUUUUGGAGGUCAAAUGCAAAAUACUGCGUUUCCUCUGUUCAAAUCAGUAAUAUGAAAAAAUAAAUAUAUUUAGAAGAAUUGUUAAAUACUUCAGAAGUAUGGACAUAUAAGCUGUAAUUUCUGUGUAGGUUUUUAAGUUAAAAAAAAUCUGUUAAA